rnacentral:rRNA from 1 species
UGGGGAAUUUUGCACAAUGGGGGAAACCCUGAUGCAGCGACGCCGCGUGAUUUAGAAGGCCUUCGGGUUGUAAAAAUCUUUUUUACGGGAUGAAAAUGACAGUACCGUAAGAAUAAGGUCCGGCUAAAUACGUGCCAGCAGCCGCAGUAAUACGUAUGGACCGAGCGUUGUCCGGAAUCAUUGGUCGUAAAGGGUACGUAGGCGGCCUAGUAAGUUAGAAGUGAAAUAAUAUAGCUCAACUAUAUAAAGCUUUUAAAACUGCUAGGCUUGAGAGAUGGAAGGGAAAGUGGAAUUCCUAGUGUAGCGGUGAAAUGCGCAGAUAUUAGGAAGAAUACCGGUGGCGAAGGCGACUUUCUGGUCAUCAUCUGACGCUGAGGUACGAAAGCGUGGGUAGCAAACAGG